rnacentral:rRNA from 1 species
UACGUAGGGUGCGAGCGUUAAUCGGAAUUACUGGGCGUAAAGCGUGCGCAGGCGGCGCGUUAAGACAGGUGUGAAAGCCCCGAGCUUAACUUGGGAAUUGCGCUUGUGACUGGCGAGCUGGAGUGUGGCAGAGGGAGGUGGAAUUCCACGUGUAGCAGUGAAAUGCGUAGAGAUGUGGAGGAACACCGAUGGCGAAGGCAGCUUACUAUGGUCUUAUUGACGCUGAGGCACGAAAGCGUGGGGAGCAAACAGG